rnacentral:rRNA from 1 species
GCAGCCGCGGUAAUACGGAAGGUCCGAGCGUUAUCCGGAUUUAUUGGGUUUAAAGGGAGCGUAGGCGGGCUGUUAAGCCAGCCGUCAAAUUGCGGGGCUCAACCCCGUAUCGCGGUUGGAACUGGCGGCCUUGAGUGGGCAAGAGGCGCGUGGAAUUCGUGGUGUAGCGGUGAAAUGCAUAGAUAUCACGAGGAACUCCGAUUGCGAAGGCAGCGCGCUGGGGCCUUACUGACGCUGAUGCUCGAAGGCGCGGGUAUCAAACAGGAUUAGAUACCCC